UACGUAGGGUGCGAGCGUUGUCCGGAAUUAUUGGGCGUAAAGGGCUCGUAGGCGGUUUGUCGCGUCGGGAGUGAAAACUCAGGGCUUAACCCUGAGCCUGCUUCCGAUACGGGCAGACUAGAGGUAUGCAGGGGAGAAUGGAAUUCCUGGUGUAGCGGUGAAAUGCGCAGAUAUCAGGAGGAACACCGGUGGCGAAGGCGGUUCUCUGGGCAUUACCUGACGCUGAGGAGCGAAAGCAUGGGGAGCGAACAGG
rnacentral:rRNA from 1 species